rnacentral:rRNA from 1 species
UACCUACGGGGGGCAGCAGUGAGGAAUAUUGGUCAAUGGGCGGUAGCCUGAACCAGCCAAGUAGCGUGAAGGAUGAAGGUUCUAUGGAUUGUAAACUUCUUUUCUCAAGGAAUACAGUGAGGCACGUGUGCCUUUUUGUAUGUACUUUAUGGAUAAGGAUCGGCUAACUCCGUGCCCGCAGCCGCGGUAAUACGGAGGAUCCGCGCGUUAUCCGGAUUUAUUGGGUUUAAAGGGAGCGUAGAUGGGUUGUUAAGUCAGUUGUGAAAGUUUGCGGCUCAACCGUAAAAUUGCACUUUCUCCUGGCG